rnacentral:lncRNA from 1 species
GGACAUUAAGUUGUAGAGUUUCUAUCUUUCCAAUGGCGUGUCCCUCCAACGCCUCGAAGGAGCUUCCAAGAGAUUCGACCCGAUCACCCAUAUUAGAGAUGAUUUGGUCAAGUUUACCUUCCAUGUUUGUUGUUUCCCUCACCUUACUCUUUCCUCUAGUUUUCCUUACUUCAGUUUGGGCAGCACCUCGGCCCCUCUCCUCAAUCUCAAUAUCAACAGUUUCUUGAGAUUCCGCCAUUUGAGCACCUCACCCAAAUCUAGCAUCCAAGAAUCUCCGACGAAUCUGGCUACCACAGCCGCACUUGGUUACCACAACCAAACCUUCGCCUUAGACUGCCUCUGUAGUCCACACCACGUGAACCUUACAUGGAGAUCACCUCACCUCUGAGAUGAAAAAUUGGUUCAACCCCACGUGAACCUUGCUCUGAUACCACUUGUCACGGGCCUAGUUUCGUUACACCCGAACAAACUAGAACCGUGCGGCCUUAACGUUCUACAAUUCCCGCACCUCACGAGAAAACGUUAAGUCAGCCU